rnacentral:rRNA from 1 species
GAGUUUGAUCCUGGCUCAGAUUGAACGCUGGCGGCAUGCCUUACACAUGCAAGUCGAACGGUAACAGGUCUUCGGAUGCUGACGAGUGGCGAACGGGUGAGUAACACAUCGGAACGUGCCCGAUCGUGGGGGAUAACGAAGCGAAAGCUUUGCUAAUACCGCAUACGAUCUACGGAUGAAAGCAGGGACCGCAAGGCCUUGCGCGAACGGAGCGGCCGAUGGCAGAUUAGGUAGUUGGUGGGAUAAAAGCUUACCAAGCCGACGAUCUGUAGCUGGUCUGAGAGGACGACCAGCCACACUGGGACUGAGGCACGGCCCAGACUCCUACGGGAGGCAGCAGUGGGGAAUUUUGGACAAUGGGCGAAAGCCUGAUCCAGCCAUGCCGCGUGCAGGAUGAAGGCC